GUAAUUAAGCUAAGCUAGUAGCUAUAUUGUUAUUAAGCUAAGCUAGUAGCUAUAUUGUUAUCAAGCUAAUAGCUAUAUUGUAAUUAAGCUAAGCUAGUAGCUAUAUUGUUUUAAGCUAGUAGCUUUAUUGUACUUAAGCUAAGCUAGUAGCUAUAUUGUUAUCAAGCUAGUAGCUUUAUUGUACUUAAGCUAAGCUAGUAGCUAUAUUGAUAUUAAGCUAGUAGCUAUAUUGUUAUUAAGCUAGUAGCAUUAGCUCUGUGGCUCAUAGCAUAGCAUUAGCUCUCUGUAACGUUAGCUUGUAAUCAGUCAAUAAAGUUAUUACAAACUGCUGCUGCUGUCUGUACAGCUGAUGUUGGGGUUUGUUGUUCUCUCAGACUGUCAGGUGAAGGUGGAGGAGGGGGCGGAGUCUGUCCAACUGCCCUUCAAGAUCACAGCUGACCUGCCUGAGAGGGCUAAAGUGGUGUGGGUGAAAGGUAACAUCUACAGUUACAGGACGGUCCAUGUGUAUCAGAACGGUUCUGACCAGCCUGACAAACAGAACCAGGAUUACAGAGACCGAACUGAGAUGAAUGAAGACCUGCUGAAAACUGGAGACCUCAGUCUGACCCUGAAAUCCCCCAAAGAGAGAGACACAGGAACAUACUGCUGCAACGUCUACAACAAGAACAUCUGGAGAUGGAAAACAGUGGAGCUCACAGUCAGAGGGAGAACCAGGAACAGAAGCAGCUUCAUUGAUCCAACUCCUCUGAUGGCUGAUCAAUCUGUUUGAUUGGUCUGUUGAUCAAUCUUUGAUUAUUGAUCUUGUUGAAGGGGCUCAAAGGAAGAGAAUGUCAACGUUCAGCUUUCAGUGUUUCCUCUCUUCAUCAUCUGAAUGAACCUGCAGUCCAUACUGUGAUUGAUUGAUUGACUGAUUGAUUGAUUGAUUGAUUGAUUGAUUGAUUGAUUGAUUGAUUGAUUGGUCUCAUGUAGCUCUAUAAUGUUUCUCUGAUGUUUGUGUAUUCAGCUUCUAUACAUAUAUAUCUGGCUGUGUCUCAGGAGGUAGAGCGGGUCGUCCACUGAUCAGAAGGUUGCUGGUUCGAUCCCCGGCUCCUCCCGCUGCAUGUCGAAGUGUCCUUGAGCAAAAUACUGAACCCCAAACUGCUCCUGAUGCUGAAUCACUGUAUGGAUGAAUGAAUGUGUGAAUGAGUGAAUGUAUGAAUGAGUGAAUGUGUGAAUGUGUGAAUGAGUGAAUGUGUGAAUGAAUGAAUGAGUGAAUGUGGCUGUAGUGUAAAUGGAUUUGAGUGGUCAGAACACUAGACAGACACUAAGUUCAGUCACUCUCUCUGAUUGAAUGAAGUUAUUGUUUGAGUGUCAGUCAGCUGAACUGUUCUCAUGUGUUUGAAUCCAUAAAGUGUUGUGAGCAGAUGAGUUAUGGAUUCGAUCAUUUCACACUCUGUUUAGAGAAUGAUGAAUAUUGAGGAGAACAACUGUAAAUAAAGCUCAAAUGUACAGAAAUCAUUUCUCCACUCUGACAGCAUCAUGAAAAUGGAUCUAAAGCUGUGAGAAUGAUGGAUUCAGGAGGCAUCAAAACUUUGAUUACUACUCUCUUCUGAAAUAACAAAAGUGCUCAGUGUGACGGCCUUAUUGUGUUCCUCUUGCUUGGUUGUUUACUCUUUGUUUCAGGUAGUAAGGGGUGG
rnacentral:lncRNA from 15 species